rnacentral:rRNA from 1 species
GAUGAACGCUAGCGACAGGCUUAACACAUGCAAGUCGAGGGGCAGCACGAUGUAGCAAUACAUUGGUGGCGACCGGCGCACGGGUGAGUAACGCGUAUGCAACCUACCUAUCAGAGGGGAAUAACCCGGCGAAAGUCGGACUAAUACCGCAUAAAACAGGGGUUCCACAUGGAAAUAUUUGUUAAAGAAUUAUCGCUGAUAGAUGGGCAUGCGUUCCAUUAGAUAGUUGGUGAGGUAACGGCUCACCAAGUCCACGAUGGAUAGGGGUUCUGAGAGGAAGGUCCCCCACACUGGUACUGAGACACGGACCAGACUCCUACGGGAGGCAGCAGUGAGGAAUAUUGGUCAAUGGGCGAGAGCCUGAACCAGCCAAGUCGCGUGAAGGAUGAAGGAUCUAUGGUUUGUAAACUUCUUUUAUAUGGGAAUAAAGUGAGGAACGUGUUCCUUUUUGUAUGUACCAUAUGAAUAAGCAUCGGCUAACUCCGUGCCAGCAGCCGCGGUAAUACGGAGGAUGCGAGCGUUAUCCGGAUUUAUUGGGUUUAAAGGGUGCGUAGGUGGUUAAUUAAGUCAGCGGUGAAAGUUUGUGGCUCAACCAUAAAAUUGCCGUUGAAACUGGUUGACUUGAGUAUAUUUGAGGUAGGCGGAAUGCGUGGUGUAGCGGUGAAAUGCAUAGAUAUCACGCAGAACUCCGAUUGCGAAGGCAGCUUACUAAA